rnacentral:misc_RNA from 1 species
GUGGUUUUCCCAUUUAUUGGACACAUAUGGGUAUAUGUACUUCUGCUGGUAUCAUUAGGGAUUUUGCUGGACCCUACUAUGUUUCUGAGGAUCAAAUGGGAUUUGAUAAUCCAACAAUGUAUUGGCAGUUGAAUCCUAAGAAUAGAGUAGCUGCCACCUGGGACUCUGCUGUACAUCAAGCUUCUGAGGAGUAUUCUCACAGAAUGCUCUCCUCCAAACAAGGCAUCCAUUUCCUUCUCAUCUCAGAAGGACAGACAAGACUGGGAGCACACCCUACACUCACUUCAACUCUCUCUACCCAAACAACAAGGCCCCAGCAGCACACACUACCAGAGGACACACACUGAUCCUCCUAAAACUGCACUAUCUCAGUUCAUGUGGCAUGUGACACUGCCAUCUUGUAGAGUAGGAUCAGAAUUAUUCCCCAUUGCUGUUCCCAAUGGUAUGUACAAUCAGUUAUUCGUGUGCAUUAAUGAUGUGUGUGGGCGUGGGAACAUCACCAUAUUAAACUCCUGGAGUACGUCAAAGGACACUCCUCCUCAACUGGUAGCGACCCUCCCACUGUCCAGCUCAAGGCUGAUCUGUUCUUUGUGUGUUGAACAUAUGAACAUCACACUAGCUAAUGCUCAUUCUUCCUUUCCUGACGACUCUCGUUCCUCCACUCGUUUACCACUGACUCUGCCCACUGCCCCUCCUACUGAUCGAGCUCCUCUAGAACCUGACGAGUUACUCUGUCCUUCACCUCAAUCAAUAACUGACAGACCACACCCAUUGAUCCCACCUUCUUCUCAUAGGACUUCAUCUUAUAUCGUCUCACGAACUCAAAAAGAGUGAAGACACAAACUAGCUCCUCCUACUCCGGAGGGCGACCAGUGUCUCUGGUUGAGUACCGAAGAUGGGAUAUUGCAUGUUUUGAAAGUGGGUGUGGCUUUGUUACAUGUAUCUAGUUCUGAUGAGGAUUGCGCGUGGGUUGGGCUUAGUAGUGGUCGAAUUGCACUCUUCAAUCUUCAUAAAAGUAUCGAUAGACCCGAGAGGUUCAUAUCAGUUUCUUCUUAUCCAAUCAAAGCUAUUGUGAGUGUGGGGUGUGUAAACUGGUUGCUACUGGUAACAGGAUAGUGGACGUGAAUUCCGAAACAUUAACAUGCAAAGAGUUCGUCAGUUUAUCAGAUCACAUAGAUCAGUUAAUAAUACCUCCUCCUUCUCCUCAAGCUAUUCAACCAUCAACCAGUCAAACAAAGAGAACUUCAAGUCCAAAGAGUUCUUCACCUACCCCUACCACUAGCAGCAGCAGCUCCAAUCCUAUUGCUACUACUCCUGCAGCUGCUGGUUUGGUGUUUAUUUCUUUAAAGAACUCACUCACUGUUCACAUAUGCUCUUUCAAUGGUGCUGUCAUGGAAACUGUUCAUACUGUUGAUUGUAGCAGCUAUGUAACAUCAGCACUGAGAUAUUAUGAUCCCAUCAUAAAGAAUCACAAAUGCACCAAUCCUUACAUCACUUUACUAACAUGUACACAAUCUCAGCUACUGAUUGGUACCUCCACUGGUGUCUUAUUACACUAUCGUUAGUGGGAAGAGCUAACACUCAUCAACUCCACCCACUAAUCAGAGGUCACGUUGAUAGAGUGAGUACCCUGGUAUCAGUUCCGCCCACACACACUAAUAGUAAUUAUCAAGUGUUUAUAAGUGGUGGCCAUGG